rnacentral:rRNA from 1 species
AUUGAACGCUGGCGGCAGGCCUAACACAUGCAAGUCGAACGGUAACAGGAAACAGCUUGCUGUUUCGCUGACGAGUGGCGGACGGGUGAGUAAUGUCUGGGAAACUGCCUGAUGGAGGGGGAUAACUACUGGAAACGGUAGCUAAUACCGCAUAACGUCGCAAGACCAAAGAGGGGGACCUUCGGGCCUCUUGCCAUUGGAUGUGCCCAGAUGGGAUUAGCUAGUAGGUGGGGUAACGGCUCACCUAGGCGACGAUCCCUAGCUGGUCUGAGAGGAUGACCAGCCACACUGGAACUGAGACACGGUCCAGACUCCUACGGGAGGCAGCAGUGGGGAAUAUUGCGCAAUGGGCGCAAGCCUGAUGCAGCCAUGCCGCGUGUAUGAAGAAGGCCUUCGGGUUGUAAAGUACUUUCAGCGGGGAUGAAGGGAGUAAAGUUAAUACCUUUGCUCAUUGACGGUACCCGCAGAAGAAGCACCGGCUAACUCCGUG